GCCGGGUCCGCGCGCGCCAUGUCGCCGUCGCGGCGAAAAUAUAAUCCCCGGCGGGGACGGUCGCCGUCGCUGUCGUCAUGGACACGCGUCGUGCGGAGAGAAGCCAUGGACCCGCGCGGGGGUGUCGGGUUCGGAGUAGAGAUUUGCGGGAGAUCUUGGAGGACCCAGGUGCAUCCCUCCUGCCCGAACCGGAGGCAGGUGCUGGCCUGGAUCGAUCGAACAGGAAUAGGAAAAAAGAAAAAGAAAAAGAAAAAGAAAAUCAUCAGCGUCUUGCCAUCUUUGCACCACCAACGCCAAGCCGGCGCCGUAUCUUCUCCCAACUGAACCAGAUCACGAAGACUCGACUCCCUUCGGUCUCCGCUUCCGACGUCCCUGUUUCCAUUAUUUUUACUUUGUUUUUCUAGCACUUUUUUCUUUG
rnacentral:lncRNA from 1 species